CGACGGAACUAUUUUGAAGAUUUCUUCGGAAUGAUUUUGGCUUAGUUUAGUGGCGGACGGGUGAGUAACGCGUGAGUAACCUGCCUUCAAGAGGGGGAUAACGUUUUGAAAAGAACGCUAAUACCGCAUAACAUAUCGAAGCCGCAUGACUAUGAUAUCAAAGAUUUUAUCGCUUGAAGAUGGACUCGCGUCCGAUUAGUUAGUUGGUGAGGUAACGGCUCACCAAGACCGCGAUCGGUAGCCGGACUGAGAGGUUGAACGGCCACAUUGGGACUGAGACACGGCCCAGACUCCUACGGGAGGCAGCAGUGGGGGAUAUUGCGCAAUGGGGGCAACCCUGACGCAGCAACGCCGCGUGAAGGAUGAAGGUUUUCGGAUUGUAAACUUCUUUUCUUAAGGACGAAAUUUGACGGUACUUAAGGAAUAAGCUCCGGCUAACUACGUGCCAGCAGCCGCGGUAAUACGUAGGGAGCAAGCGUUGUCCGGAUUUACUGGGUGUAAAGGGUGCGUAGGCGGCAAUGCAAGUCAGAUGUGAAAUCUAUGGGCUCAACCCAUAAACUGCAUUUGAAACUGCGUUGCUUGAGUGAAGUAGAGGCAGGCGGAAUUCCCCGUGUAGCGGUGAAAUGCGUAGAGAUGGGGAGGAACACCAGUGGCGAAGGCGGCCUGCUGGGCUUUAACUGACGCUGAGGCACGAAAGCGUGGGUAGCAAACAGGAUUAGAUACCCUGGUAGU
rnacentral:rRNA from 1 species